rnacentral:rRNA from 1 species
AACGAACGCUGGCGGCAUGCCUAACACAUGCAAGUCGAACGAGACCUUCGGGUCUAGUGGCGCACGGGUGCGUAACGCGUGGGAACCUGCCCUUAGGUUCGGAAUAACUCCCCGAAAGGGGUGCUAAUACCGGAUAAUGUCUUCGGACCAAAGAUUAUCGCCUUUGGAUGGGCCCGCGGUGGAUUAGCUAGUUGGUAGGGUAAAAGCCUACCAAGGCGACGAUCCAUAGCUGGUCUGAGAGGAUGAUCAGCCACACUGGGACUGAGACACGGCCCAGACUCCUACGGGAGGCAGCAGUGGGGAAUAUUGGACAAUGGGCGAAAGCCUGAUCCAGCAAUGCCGCGUGAGUGAUGAAGGCCUUAGGGUUGUAAAGCUCUUUUACCCGGGAUGUUAAUGACAGUACCGGGAGAAUAAGCUCCGGCUAACUCCGUG